UUAGAGUUUGAUCCUGGCUCAGGAUGAACGCUAGCGGCAGGCCUAAUACAUGCAAGUCGAACGGUAAAUGCCCCUUCGGGGGUAUGAGAGUGGCGCACGGGUGCGUAACGCGUAUGCAACCCACCCGCUGCCGGGGGAUAGCCCGGAGAAAUUCGGAUUAAUACCCCAUGAGGAGCGAGGAAGGCAUUUUCCACGUUUCAAAACUUCGGUGGCGGCGGACGGGCAUGCGUGCCAUUAGAUAGUUGGCGGGGUAACGGCCCACCAAGUCGACGAUGGCUAGGGGAUCUGAGAGGACGGUCCCCCACACUGGUACUGAGACACGGACCAGACUCCUACGGGAGGCAGCAGUAAGGGAUAUUGGUCAAUGGGGGGAACCCUGAACCAGCCAUGCCGCGUGAGGGAGGAAGGCCCUACGGGUCGUAAACCUCUUUUGCCGGGGGAUAAGGACACCUACGUGUAGGUGUUUGAAGGUACCCGGAGAAUAAGCAUCGGCUAACUCCGUGCCAGCAGCCGCGGUAAUACGGAGGAUGCGAGCGUUAUCCGGAUUUAUUGGGUUUAAAGGGUGCGCAGGCGGGCGAUUAAGUCAGCGGUGAAAGGCUCGGGCUCAACCGGAGCAGUGCCGUUGGAACUGGCGCCCUUGAAUGCGGUCAAGGGAGGCGGAACUUGCCAUGUAGCGGUGAAAUGCUUAGAUAUGGCGAAGAACCCCGAUUGCGAAGGCAGCCUCCUGGCCCGUGAUUGACGCUGAGGCUCGAAAGCGCGGGUAUCGAACAGGAUUAGAUACCCUGGUAGUCCGCGCCGUAAACGAUGAGUGCUGGUCAUGCGCGACAUGCUGUGUGUGACUGAGGGAAACCAUUAAGCACUCCACCUGGGGAGUACGCCGGCAACGGUGAAACUCAAAGGAAUUGACGGGGGCCCGCACAAGCGGAGGAACAUGUGGUUUAAUUCGAUGAUACGCGAGGAACCUUACCCGGGCUCGAACGGCGGGGGACGGGCACUGAAAAGUGCCUUCACGCGAGUGUCCCCGCCGAGGUGCUGCAUGGUUGUCGUCAGCUCGUGCCGUGAGGUGUCGGCUUAAGUGCCAUAACGAGCGCAACCCCCGCCGGCAGUUGCUAACGGGCAAUGCCGAGGACUCUGCCGGGACUGCCGGCGCAAGCCGCGAGGAAGGCGGGGAUGACGUCAAAUCAGCACGGCCCUUACGUCCGGGGCGACACACGUGUUACAAUGGCGGGUACAGCGGGAAGCGACCGUGCGAGCGGGAGCGGAGCCCGAAAACCCGUCUCAGUUCGGAUCGGAGUCUGCAACCCGACUCCGUGAAGCUGGAUUCGCUAGUAAUCGCGCAUCAGCCAUGGCGCGGUGAAUACGUUCCCAGGCCUUGUACACACCGCCCGUCAAG
rnacentral:rRNA from 1 species